rnacentral:rRNA from 1 species
AACGAACGCUGGCGGCAGGCUUAACACAUGCAAGUCGAACGCCCCGCAAGGGGAGAGGCAGACGGGUGAGGAACGCGUGGGAAUCUACCCAGUUCUACGGAACAACAGUUGGACACGACUGCCACUACCGUAUACGCCCUACGGGGGAAAGCGUUAUCGGAAUUGGAUGAGCUCGCGUAAGAUUAGCUAGUUGGUGAGGUAAUGGCUCACCAAGGCGACGAUCUUUAGCCGGUCUGAGAGGAUGAUCAGCCACACUGGGACUGAGACACGGCCCAGACUCCUACGGGAGGCAGCAGUGGGGAAUAUUGGACAAUGGGCGCAAGCCUGAUCCAGCCAUGCCGCGUGAGUGAUGAAGGCCUUAGGGUUGUAAAGCUCUUUCAGUAGGGAAGAUAAUGACGGUACCUACAGAAGAAGCCCCGGCUAACUUCGUGCCAGCCGCCGCCGUAAAAC